GGGGACCCGCAAGCGGUGGAUGAUGUGGAUUAAUUCGAUGCAACGCGAAAAACCUUACCUACCCUUGACAUGUCAGGAAUCCUGGAGAGAUCCGGGAGUGCCCGAAAGGGAACCUGAACACAGGUGCUGCAUGGCUGUCGUCAGCUCGUGUCGUGAGAUGUUGGGUUAAGUCCCGCAACGAGCGCAACCCUUGUCAUUAGUUGCUACGCAAGAGCACUCUAAUGAGACUGCCGGUGACAAACCGGAGGAAGGUGGGGAUGACGUCAAGUCCUCAUGGCCCUUAUGGGUAGGGCUUCACACGUCAUACAAUGGUACAUACAGAGGGCCGCCAACCCGCGAGGGGGAGCUAAUCCCAGAAAGUGUAUCGUAGUCCGGAUUGUAGUCUGCAACUCGACUACAUGAAGUUGGAAUCGCUAGUAAUCGCGGAUCAGCAUGUCGCGGUGAAUACGUUCCCGGGUCUUGUACACACC
rnacentral:rRNA from 1 species